rnacentral:rRNA from 1 species
CAUGCAAGUCGAACGAGAGACUCUUCGGAGUAGUAAAGUGGCGAACGGGUGAGUAAGACAUGGGUAAUCUGCCUUUGAGCGGGGGAUAACCAGCCGAAAGGCUGGCUAAUACCCCAUACGCUUCCGGUCCCUCGGGUAAGGAAGGAAAGCCGCAUCGUGGAUGUGGCACUCGAAGAUGGGCUCAUGGCCUAUCAGCUUGUUGGUGGGGUAACGGCCUACCAAGGCAACGACGGGUAGCUGGUCUGAGAGGACGAUCAGCCACACUGGCACAGAGAUACGGGCCAGACUCCUACGGGAGGCAGCAGUGAGGAAUAUUGCGCAAUGGGCGAAAGCCUGACGCAGCGACGCCGCGUGGGGGAAGAAGGUUUUCGGAUUGUAAACCCCUUUUAGGAGGAAAGAUGGGGUGGUUUUCCACCCGGACGGUACCUCCAGAAAAAGCCACGGCUAACUUCGUGCCAGCAGCCGCGGUAAUACGAAGGUGGCGAGCGUUGUUCGGAUUUACUGGGCGUAAAGAGCACGUAGGCGGUUUAGUAAGCCCCUUGGGAAAGCUAUGGGCUUAACCCAUAAAGGUCGAGGGGGACUGCUAAGCUAGAGGGCGGGAGAGGAGCGCGGAAUUUCCGGUGUAGCGGUGAAAUGCGUAGAUAUCGGGAAGAAGGCCGGUGGCGAAGGCGGCGCUCUGGAACGUCUCUGACG